GUCUGCGUGACAUAGUGGGUAUUGCGUGAGACUCAAUAACUCAAGUUCGGCGGUUCGAAUCCCCCCGCAGAGCG